rnacentral:rRNA from 1 species
AUUGAACGCUGGCGGUAGGCCUAACACAUGCAAGUCGAACGGCAGCACAGUAAUAGCUUGCUCUUACGGGUGGCGAGUGGCGGACGGGUGAGGAAUACAUCGCAAUCUACUUUUUCGUGGGUGAUAACGUAGGGAAACUUACGCUAAUACUGCAUACGACCUACGGGUGAAAGCAUGGGAUCUUCGGACCUUGCGCGAGUGAAUGAGCCGAUGUCGGAUUAGCUAGUUGGAGGGGUAAAGGCCCACCAAGGCGACGAUCCGUAGCUGGUCUGAGAGGAUGAUCAGCCACACUGGAACUGAGACACGGUCCAGACUCCUACGGGAGGCAGCAGUGGGGAAUAUUGGACAAUGGGCGCAAGCCUGAUCCAGCCAUACCGCGUGGGUGAAGAAGGCCUUCGGGUUGUAAAGCCCUUUUGUUGGGAAAGAAAAGCAGCAGGUUAAUACCUCGCUGUUCUGACGGUACCAAAAGAAUAAGCACCGGCUAACUUCGUG